CCUAACCUUGAUCCCAGGGGGCGCACAACAGAAACCCUGGAGCUCUGGCAGCGCCCAGAACAGUCGCGGUAGCUGGGGUUACGCCCCGAGGCGCCGUGGCGCGUGCAUAUGUGCGCGUGCGUGGGCGUCCGCGCGUGCGCUAUUGUCUACACCCUGAUGGACAAGCCCCAGAGCCUGCAUAGAUGCCGCAGCCAGCGUGGUGUGCGUGGGCUACGCCGAGGUUGAAGCGGUGCACACGUGGUACGCGCACCCGCAGACGCUCCCCGGGGUAUGUCACUACUCUCCUGCCGAGCGCCGAAAUUGCCCUUGGCGGUGUUUCUGUAAAUCUGGGAGAAAGCCAGCCUAGGACCUCAGGGAAAGACGUGGAGGGUCCCAAACUAGGAAAGUGAACAGGGAAAGACAUUUGAUCUCAUCUUGAAGAAGCCCAUGAGAUUAUUUAUGAGGUCUGAUUUUAAAGUACGGACUGCCAGGGAACUCACCCCAAGCUAUGAGAGAAGCUACAAUCGCAAGAAUGCUGUUUAUGACGAUAUAAAUCAACGUGAAACUUGUGAUGGGGAAUAUGGAGAGUGCAAGUUUGGGAUAAAAACAAGUCAGAGACUCGAGAAGAAAAGAUAGUUUUCACUUUCCCUUUUCUAUCCCAUCCUCCUGUCUGCGCGCAGUUCUUUCCUUUCCUUAGAAGGCCACAAUUUUAGUGGGAAGGGAGAGAAGGGAUAAGCGCACCCCGCUGCGGGUCGAGUUUGCCCGAGUCUUCCUCAAGUUUGCAGGAGGAUCUUUAGAGGACCAGGGAAUACAUGUAAAUAAACAACAUGGAAGAUUUAUGAGAAAGAGUUGAGUUUUACAGGACUGUAUUUAUAGAGCCAGCGCUGGCUCACUUAUAAAUAGAUUAAUGGGAAGCUAAAAUUAAUGGACUUGUGAGCUGCACGUUUAAUUUCUGAGGUUUCCACAUGACAGACAACUGCGCCUUAAAGUCCAAGCAUGGAAGACAGCUUGCGCUGGGGAGCCAAAAGCGUCCUCUAGAAGGAGCAUGUCCCCAGGCCAGCAACUCUGGUGAUUCCUACCUCUUGCGCCUGGGUCCCUGGGGGAAGAACCCAUGGAGGUGUUCGCAAAUGAGGAAAAAUAAUGUGGUCUCAUAAAAAAAAAAAAAAGGAUCUUCUUAGCAUUAUUUUUAAUCAAGCUCUUAAACUGUUAAUACUGGGCGUCAG
rnacentral:lncRNA from 1 species